UGGGGAAUUUUGGACAAUGGGCGAAAGCCUGAUUCAGCAAUGCCGCGUGUGUGAAGAAGGCCUUCGGGUUGUAAAGCACUUUUGUCCGGAAAGAAAUCCUUGGCUCUAAUACAGUCGGGGGAUGACGGUACCGGAAGAAUAAGCACCGGCUAACUACGUGCCAGCAGCCGCGGUAAUACGUAGGGUGCAAGCGUUAAUCGGAAUUACUGGGCGUAAAGCGUGCGCAGGCGGUUUGCUAAGACCGAUGUGAAAUCCCCGGGCUCAACCUGGGAACUGCAUUGGUGACUGGCAGGCUAGAGUAUGGCAGAGGGGGGUAGAAUUCCACGUGUAGCAGUGAAAUGCGUAGAGAUGUGGAGGAAUACCGAUGGCGAAGGCAGCCCCCUGGGCCAAUACUGACGCUCAUGCACGAAAGCGUGGGGAGCAAACAGGAUUAGAUACCCCGGUAGUCCACGCCCUAAACGAUGUCAACUAGUUGUUGGGGAUUCAUUUCCUAGUAACGUAGCUAACGCGUGAAGUUGACCGCCUGGGGAGUACGGUCGCAAGAUUAAAACUCAAAGGAAUUGACGGGGUCAUAGCUGUUUCCU
rnacentral:rRNA from 1 species